rnacentral:lncRNA from 1 species
CCACUUGAUAUUCUUUCUUGUGUGUGAUAUGUCUCUUGAUUGCUUGCACAUAUGCCUUGGCUUGACUCUUGUUGAUGAUUCUUGAUUGAUAUGCAUGUUUGGAAGUGAUAAAGGCAGCUUUGUUGUUGAGCCUCUUUAGCCAAAUGAGCCUACCUUGUUGUGAUCCUUUGAUAGCCCUUUUGAGCCUAUACUUUCCCCAUUUCUUUGUUUUGAAGCUCAUACACUAGCCC